rnacentral:ncRNA from 1 species
GAAGCGUGGACGUUAAAGGAGGUAGACCGAAAAGCUUUUGGAGUUUUUGAGCGCAAAGUGCUGCGGACAAUUCUCGGUGGGAAACAAGAAAAGGGAGUGUGGCGCAGACGCAUGAAUCACGAGUUGUACCAAGUGUACGAAGAUGCGAAUAUUGUGAAACGUAUAAAAUACGGCAGACUUCAGUGGGCUGGACACGUCGUGCGUAUGUCGGUAGAAAGAAAAGCGAAAACAAUAUUCAGCAGAGAGCCCGGUAUAAGUAGGCGACUUCGUGGGCGGCCGUGAACUCGCUGGCUGCACGCGGUUGAAGAAGAUCCUUACACGUUCGGGGAAACUGGAGGAACAUCGCCCAAGACCGACGAAGGUGGUGCUCUACUAUACGCUCGGCAUUGGAGUAAAGUUACUUUGUAGCCAACAAGGCAAGGCAAGGCAACGACGGUCUACGAAUUUCACCUCUCGCGCCAUAAUACUAAUGCUCCCAACUGCUUCUGUUAACCUUCCUUAGUCCCUAAAAAAAGUUACAAAUAAGACCCUGGCGUCAUUUUUGAUCCCAAACUUUGAACAGCUCGCAAAAAUCAGUGGCUUGUCCGAUUUUGGAUCUCUUUGGAUCAAAUGAAAGGGUCACAAGUCUAGUUUUCAUAACCACCGGAGAAAUCCGGAUUUGGUCACUGUGGCCACCGGGAACCUGCUUCAACUGAAAAAUGCCGCUUUAGAGACCCUAACUUUGGCAAGCCUUAACUUUGCAACCAAACAAGUAAUCAGGGCCGUCCAAGGGUCGUUGGAAAGGUAUUGACGUGGACUUUGAUACUAGACAUUAAUAUUGACUAAUUAUUGAGAACCGGUUCCGGAAAUCCGGAACAUCCAAAAUAUUAGUUUUCAUUAUUGCUAUGUGCUUGAAAAUCCACAAAUGUGUUCCGUUUAUGCAUUUUAUUGCAUAACUUCUCUGCACGCUUCAUUGAAAUGAGAAACAUAUUGUUUAAGACCAUUUUUGAAGGGUUCUGGGCAGAUCUGGUCAUUGCGGAACGGGUUACAGGGACUCCGGAAGGUGGUCAAUUGGGUAACGACAAUGAACUUCGUAUAGUUUUCACUGCAAAAACCGGCGCUACAUGAUGAAACCUUCGUGGAUUGGAGCGAAAGUUAGAGGAUCGAAGGCGAUAAGAUACCGCCCUAGUUCUAACCGUAAACUAUGCCAAUUAGCAAUUGGGAGACGCUACAUUAUGGUGCUCUCAGUAGCUUCCGGGAAACCAAAAUUAGGUUCCGGGGGAAGUAUGGUUGCAAAGUUGAAACUUAAAGGAAUUGACGGAAGGGCACCACCAGGAGUGGAGCCUGCGGCUUAAUUUGACUCAACACGGGAAAACUUACCAGGUCCGAACUUAUUGAGGUAAGACAGAUUAAUAGCUCUUUCUCAAAAUUAAGGGUAGUGGUGCAUGGCCGUUCUUAUUUCGUGGAAUGAUUUGUCUGGUUAAUUCCAAUAACGAACGUGACUCCAUCAAAUUAAAUAGAACGCUAUCAGCAGUCAGAUGUUUGAUACCGACGGAUCGGGCAACGGUCGCUGGCGGCUCGCGCUCGGCCAGCGGUGUAGUGUGACCUGAUGAUACGUCACCCCAUCGUGGUUGACCUCGCUACAAUGUGCGCAGCAACACGUAUCCUUGCCCGAAAGGGCCGGGAAAUCGCUAGAUACCGCCCUAGUUCUAACCGUAAACUAUGCCAAUUAGCAAUUGGGAGACGCUACAUUAUGGUGCUCUCAGUAGCUUCCGGGAAACUAAAAUUAGGU